rnacentral:rRNA from 1 species
ACCUACGGGGGGCAGCAGUGGGGAAUAUUGCGCAAUGGGGGAAACCCUGACGCAGCGACGCCGCGUGAGCGAAGAAGGCCUUAGGGUUGUAAAGCUCUGUUUUAAGGGACGAAUGUUACGGGGAGUAAUAUGCCCUGUAAAUGACGGUACCUUAAGAGGAAGCCCCGGCUAACUACGUGCCAGCAGCCGCGGUAAGACGUAGGGGGCGAGCGUUGUCCGGAAUUACUGGGCGUAAAGAGCACGUAGGCGGGAACUUAAGUCAGGUGUGAAAGACCGGGGCUCAACUCCGGGGUGGCACUUGAAACUGGGUUUCUUGAGGGCAGGAGAGGAAAGCAGAAUUCCUGGUGUAGCGGUGAAAUGCGUAGAAAUCAGGAGGAAUACCAGUGGCGAAGGCGGCUUUCUGGACUGACCCUGACGCUGAGGUGCGAAAGCGUGGGUAGCAAACAGGAUUAGAUACCCCGGUAGC